rnacentral:rRNA from 1 species
CAAUAGCGUAUAUUAAAGUUGUUGCAGUUAGAACGCUCGUAGUCGGAUUUCGGGGCGGGCCGACCGGUCUGCCGAUGGGUAUGCACUGGUCGGCGCGUCCUUCCUUCCGGAGACCGUCCCUACUCUUAACUGAGCGGGGGCGGGAGACGGGACUUUUACUUUGAAAAAAUCAGAGUGUUUCAAGCAGGCAGCUCGCUCUUGCAUGGAUUAGCAUGGGAUAAUGAAAUAGGACUUUGGUGCUAUUUUGUUGGUUUCGAACACCGAAGUAAUGAUGAGAAGGGACAGUCAGGGGCACUCGUACUCCGCCGAGAGAGGUGAAAUUCUCAGACCAGCGGAAGACGAACCACUGCGAAAGCAUUUGCCAGGGAUGUUUNCACUG